rnacentral:lncRNA from 1 species
UCAUUAGAGAUAUAGCAGUUGGUUUCUCGUGGUAGCAUAAGGAGGAUGGGAGAGAGGAAGUAAGAGCCAAACUGUGAUAGUGUGAGUCGAGGUAAGCUUGGUGCUACUUCUUUUCUUUUGUUUGUUAUUUUCUUUGAAUAAGAAGAUUAAGAGUUUCUGAAUAUUGUGAAAGUGAAUUAUGGAAUAGAAGUAUGAUUGUUAUUAAAUGGGAAGAAGAAAGAUUGAAUGCUGAAAUCUAAUUGUAGUUCAGCAGAGAGAAUGAGUCUGUGUUUGUGUGAAACACUGUAAUGUGAAGGCAAUUAAUGGUGAAGAACUCCAAAGUUUGGAUUAUAGU